GGGCCUGUCGGGUACGCGCGGGCACAGCGGGACAGGCCCGCCUGCCCCGGAGCACUUCGCCUGGGGCCUGUCGGGUACGCGCGGGCACAGCGGGACAGGCCCAGGGCCGCCUGCCCCGGAGUACUUCGCCGUGGGGCCUGUCGGGUACGCGCGGGCACAGCGGGACAGGCCCAGGGCCGCCUGCCCCGGAGCACUUCGCCGUGGGGCCUGUCGGCACAGCUCUAUAUGUCUUGUAGAAAAUGAGAUACUAAAAAUAGAGGAAGAAAGAGAGAGAGGAAAAAGCAAGACAUCUGGGAUCCCUGUGGACUCUGGAUGAACAACCUAUCUCAUAGUGAGACCCUACCAGCAUGCGCGCAUUCGCCAGCAGUGCCCCCGUGCGUUCUAGCCACUGCCCAGCGCCCUGGGAAAGCGCCGCAGCCUUUCUGUGGCUGCGGGAGAAGUCCAGGACACAGAAAGAAGGUAGAAAUAUGCAAGCCAGGAAGCCAGACCUCAUCAGAAACCAACUCUGCUGGACCUUGAUCUGGGACUUCUAACCUCCAAAAUGGUGGGAGAUCUCCACAGAACUCUUCCAUCAAGUUGUCUUCUAAAGCAAACAAGAAAAGGAAAGCCUGAGAAGUUUUAAUUGGAUUUCCCAGAACUCAAAGAGAGGAAAGACACAAAAGAUUCAUUUCUCACGUUCUUAAAAGAGAGCGCGGAUGUUACAUCAUCUGGUUAGAUACCCUGAGAAUAAAAUCUGGACCCAGCGAGGGGAAAGAUUCUGGGUGCUCAUGAAAAAAGAACUUGGAACUCUCUUGAGAAUAAGGAGAGUCAGCCCUGCCAACUCUUUUUUAUACACAUUUAACUUCCAAUUAACCAUGGGAAUGAGCUGUCCUUGAAAAUCCAAUCUACAAACAACAGUCAUCCCAAGUUUCAUGUUAUUCCUUCCCUUAAGAAUCUUUCACAAGAGCUACAUCAAGUAGAAUUACACUUCAAUUUGAAUUUUAAUUCGAUU